AUGAAGAUGAGUUAUGAUGAUAAGUUUGCUGUUCUGAGGGGCAUGGCUGAGGAAUGCAUCUAUGAGGAUGAGCUCCGCCUCCUGCUGAAAAAGAAGGCUGCUCCUGUUUGCUACAUUUGGUUUGAGCCAUCCCCCAUGAUGGACAUAGAGCAGGGGAUUAUGAAGACAGUUUAUGUCAACAAGAUGCUCAAAGCUGGCUGCACAGUUAAAAUAUUGAUGGCAGAUUGGUUUCUGCAAAGACACCAUAUGAUUGGCACCGACCUAAAGAAAAUACGGACCAUUGGUUGCUACAAUAUUGAGAUGUGGAAAGCAGCUGGUAUGGACCUUGACAGAGUAGAACUUGUAUGGUUGUCAGACGAGUUGAAUCAUCAUGCUGUUGAUUACUGGCCACUUGCGGUGGAAAUUUCCAGAAAAUACACCAUGAAAAGUAUGGCAAGGUUUUGUUGGAACAAGGCACCAUAUGGGCCACAAAGACUGCCUGCUGCCGAGAUAUUUUAUCCUUGCAUGCAGGUUGCUGCUAUAUUAUGCCAGAAGGUUGGUUUAUUUCAUAACUGA
rnacentral:rRNA from 1 species